UACGGGGGGGAGCAAGCGUUGUUCGGAUUUACUGGGCGUAAAGCGCGUGUAGGCGGCUAAGUAAGUCGGGCGUGAAAUCCCACGGCUCAACCGUGGAAGUGCACUCGAAACUGCAUAGCUAGAGUCCUGGAGAGGAAGGUGGAAUGCUUGGUGUAGAGGUGAAAUUCGUAGAUAUCAAGCGGAACACCGGUGGCGAAGGCGGGUCUCUGGGCCGAUACUGACGCUGAGGAGCGAAAGCGUGGGGAGCGAACAGG
rnacentral:rRNA from 1 species